CAUACCAUUUGCAAAAGUAGACAACCCAAGGUAUUGCAAAUGGGGUAUGUCCAGUAAUUUUUAAUAGCCACACUGGCCAAAUAUUCGUUUUUUUGCUUUUUUCACACAAAAACAAAUAUGAACGCUAACUUUGGCCAGUGUUUGUGACUAAGUGGCUACUAAAAAAGACUAAACAUACCCCACGUUCAAUACCUUGGGUUGUCUACUUUUUCAAAUGGUAUG
rnacentral:miRNA from 1 species